UUCCACUCGUCAUUGGGGUA
rnacentral:misc_RNA from 1 species